rnacentral:rRNA from 1 species
UACGUAGGGGGCAAGCGUUGUCCGGAAUCAUUGGGCGUAAAGCGCGUGUAGGCGGCUCGGUAAGUCUGCUGUGAAAGUCCAGGGCUCAACCCUGGGAUGCCGGUGGAUACUGUCGAGCUCGAGUCCGGAAGAGGCGAGUGGAAUUCCAGGUGUAGCGGUGAAAUGCGUAGAUAUCUGGAGGAACACCGGUGGCGAAGGCGGCGUUCUGGACUGCAACUGACACUGAGGAACGAAAGCCAGGGGAGCAAACGGG